UUUUUUUUUGUUUUUUUUUAGAGGGAGGGUCUUGCUCUGUCACCCAGGUACAGUGGCACAGUCAUAGCUCACUGCAACCUUGAACUUCUGGGCUCAAGCGAUCCUCCCAACUUGGCCUCCCAAAGUGUUGGGAUUAUAGGCAUCAGCCACCAUGCCCAGCCUGAUGUUCUAUUUUUUAAGUAGGUGGUGAGUGCAUUAAUAUUGUUAUUCGUGUGUGUGUGUGUGUGUGUGUGUGUGUGUGUACUGCUUUGUAGGGAAUGAUGCAUGUGUAAUUUUUCUUUCUUUCUUUUUCUUAACGGGGGGAUGGAGUCUUCCUCUGUCACCCAGCCGGGAAUGUAGUGAUGCAAUCUUCGCUCACUGCAACCUCCGCUUUCCGGGUUCAAGUGAUCCUCCCACCUCAGCCUCCUGAGUAGCUGGAACUACAGGUGCGUACUACCCUGCCUGGCUAUUCUUUGUAUUUUUAGUAAAGACGGGGUUUCACCUUGUUGGCCAGGCUGGUCUUGAGUUCCUGACCUAAGGUGAUCUGCCCUCCUCAGCCUCCCAAAGUGCUAGGAUUACAGGCGUGAGCCAUCGCACUCGGUAGUAUAUGUAAUUUUUCUCAAUCUAUUUUGUAUAUCAUGAAAAAGAAUCCUAUUACCAGCAAUAAUAUGUUGAUACAUUAAUACCUACUGAUAAUUUUUAGUGCAGAAGAUCUGCAUUCUGGUCCCAGCUCUGCCACUGACCAGCUGGGUAACCAUGGGCAAAGUACAACCUCUUUGACCCUUAGUUACGUCCUUGGUGAAAUGAGAACAAAAGCCUGGCUGUGCUGUCCCAAAGGAGUAUUGAGUAGCUCCAGCAAGAUCAAAUGUAUGUGAUGUGUUGUGAACAGAAGAGUCCUGAACAAAUGUAAUGAUGCUAACAAAGGAGGAGUACAGUGGCUAAGAGCAGGCAUUCUCAGGUCCCAAUUCCUGUUGGUUCGCUUUCUUGCUGUGGCCACUGGGCAAAUAACUUCACCUCUCUGAGCCUGCACAGCCUCAGUGAUGGAGAUGAUAAUCCAAAUCUCACAGGAGUUUGGGGAGAACUGUCAAUAUCAUGGAUACAAAAUGCUCAACAUAGUAAAUUAUUUCUUUUUGUUUAUUUAUUUAUUUAUGGACAAGGUGUCCCUAUGUCACCCAGGCUGGUCUCAAAUUCCUGGCCUCAAGUGAUCCACUCAUCUUGGCCUCGCAAAGUGUUGGGAUUAUAGGCCUGAGCCACCAUGCCUGGCCUUGUAGUCCAUGGUGACCACAAAUGUGAUUUAUCUGGGUUCUCUAUGGUGCAUCCAACCAAAUUCAGAUAUCCAGGCAACAAGAUCACUUCCCUCACCAGAAACAAAGUAUCACUGACCGUUUUGGUGAGAGAUGUCUGCCAUUGCCAGAAACCCAGAUAUACCAAGGAGCUUCCUCCCUGCCCACCCAUUUUCCCAGGGGCCAUCAUAGCAGCAGCAGAAGCAAGGACCUUUCUCGGCCCCGCCUCCACCUCCAGGCCACAAGCAUCUCCCCUGAAGUCCAGAUCACGUGGACUCCAGCCACACCAUGCAUCUCCCAGCUCUGGCAUCUCUGAAGAGGGGUGGAAAGAGAAAAGCAGACAGAGAG
ensembl:lncRNA